rnacentral:rRNA from 1 species
UACGUAGGGUGCAAGCGUUGUCCGGAAUUAUUGGGCGUAAAGAGCUCGUAGGCGGUCUGUUGCGUCGGCUGUGAAAACCCGGGGCUCAACUCCGGGCCUGCAGCCGAUACGGGCAGACUAGAGUUCGGCAGGGGAGACUGGAAUUCCUGGUGUAGCGGUGAAAUGCGCAGAUAUCGGGAGGAACACCAGUGGCGAAGGCGGCUUUCUGGUCUGCUCUUGACGCUGAGGCGCGAAAGCUAGGGUAGCAAACGGG